rnacentral:rRNA from 1 species
AUUGAACGCUGGCGGCAGGCCUAACACAUGCAAGUCGAGCGGAGCGGCGAACGGGUGAGUAAUGCCUAGGAAUCUGCCUGGUAGUGGGGGAUAACGUCCGGAAACGGGCGCUAAUACAGCAUACUAUCAGAUGAGCCUAAGUAGGAUUGGCUAUUUGGUGGGGUAAAGGCCUACCAAGGCGACGAUCCGUAACUGGUCUGAGAGUCUGAGCAGUCACACGGGAACUAAAACACUGUCCAGACUCUGACGGGAGGCAGCAGGGGGGAAUAUUGGACAAUGGGCAAAAGCCUGAUCCAGCCAUGCCGCGUGUGUGAAGAAGGUCUUCGGAUUGUAAAGCACUUUAAGUUGGGAAGCGUUACCAACAGAAUAAGCACCGGCUAACUACGUGCCAGCAGACGCGGUAAUUC